rnacentral:rRNA from 1 species
AUUGAACGCUGGCGGCAGGCCUAACACAUGCAAGUCGAGCGGAGCGGCGGACGGGUGAGUAAUGCCUAGGAAUCUGCCUGGUAGUGGGGGAUAACGUCCGGAAACGGGCGCUAAUACCGCAUACUAUCAGAUGAGCCUCGGUGGGAUUAGCCAGUUGGUGGGGUAAAGGCCUACCAAGGCGACGAUCCGGAACUGGUCGGAGAGGAUGUUCAGUCACACGGGAACGGAGACACGGUCCAGAGUCCUACGGGAGGCAGCAGUGGGGAAUAGUGGACAAUGGGCGAAAGCCUGAUACAGCCAUGCCGCGUGUGUGAAGAAGGUCUUCGGUGUGUAAAGCAGUUUAAGUUGGGAGGCGUUACAAGCAGAAUAAGCACCGGCUAACUUCGUGCCAGCAGCCGCGGUAAUUC